GCUAUGUAAAACUACAGCGUCACAUGUUAUUGUAGACAGGGGGUAGAAAAGGCAAAUUAGCCGUUGCGUUUGCGUCAGACUAAACCGGACAGGCCGCCUUACCUGUGCAGAAGAGUCCAUCCUGAAGUGGCAGAACGAAAACAUCGCUUCUGGGUUGAUAUUCCUUCUGAAGUGUUUCAUGGCGAUGAGAAUUAAGGAAUAAAGCGCAGCGCCAAAUGAUUCAGUGAAAGGAUGGCACACACCCACAGGACGGCAUCCUCGAUGGUUCCAAUUUCCAGCCCCAUUCCCCAAUUUUCAACCCCAAUGACAGACAACACACGCCGCGAUGGCUGUUUAGCUAAAGAAGGGAAUUUGCAGAGGAAUCGCUCCUCGGAAAAAUUACAUUAACGCGGGCAUCUGUCCUCAGAGGGUCAGCCAUCUUGUCUCACUGAUGGCCGAGGCCCGGAGACUCGGAGGCGGCGGAGAGCGAAAGCGGCAGAGACAGGCUCCCCUGCCACCCUGAUGUGCUGGGAAAACAGUGGAAGGACCAUGCUGAGAGACAGAAAGGGAGCAAAUGAAAAAGAGGGGAAGAAAGAGAGGGAGAGAGCGAGAUUAAGCGCACGGGGGAAGAGAGAGGGCCGAGCGAGCGAUGCCCAUGGGCAAGACUGGCUCUGCCUUGCCUUGGCCCUCCUCCUAGUGCCAGAGACAGGGAUGACGCUGCCACUCUGCAUCAGCCUUAUGUAGUAUUCAUAGCAGCAGGUCCUUCUAACACAAUUUGUGACCUCCACCCCAGCAGAGGAAUAUUGAAGUUUAACAAUGGCCGCCUCGGUAGGGAGCGAGCGCGGCGAGACCCCGGCGAGCGACUUGCCCCGUCUAUUAUUUCUCUUUUUAUAUAUUGUGUAGAAUGUGUCUUUUCUGGGAAUUCCACAAUAAAAUGACUGUUAUUUAUCAUU